UACGUAGGUGGCAAGCGUUGUCCGGAAUUAUUGGGCGUAAAGCGCGCGCAGGCGGCCUCUUAAGUCUGAUGUGAAAGCCCCCGGCUCAACCGGGGAGGGCCAUUGGAAACUGGGAGGCUUGAGUAUAGGGAGAGAAGAGUGGAAUUCCACGUGUAGCGGUGAAAUGCGUAGAGAUGUGGAGGAACACCAGUGGCGAAGGCGACUCUUUGGCCUAUAACUGACGCUGAGGCGCGAAAGCGUGGGGAGCAAACAGG
rnacentral:rRNA from 1 species